AAUCAGUUAGGAUACUUUCCACUGUGCAUCUAUAGAAGUUUGUCAAAGCUUUGGGUGACAUGCCAAAUGCAAGGAGGAACCAAUUUUCACCAGACGAUAAGCUUGAUAUUCCAGGCUGGUAGCAGUUUGCAAGAAGGUCUUCUCCUCCUUCCUCUUAAAUAGGACCUCUAUGUAUUCCUGAUGCAUGGACCUGAGGUACUCAACCCCAUCUCAGGCGUAUCUGCUCUCUUACACACUCAUGUGGGACCAGGUACAGAACCUCUUGCUCUCUGCUUCCCUCUUGAGUAAGGACAGAAAGUGAAAGAAACCGUCGAUAUUAUGUGAUGUCAAGGUGUGGAUGAAGACCUUAAAGAAGAAAAAGGCAUUUGGCAACUAUGGAGAAAUGAAAACAAGGUAGUCCCUUCAGGACUAUAGGAAUUACAAAAUAUAAUUGGCUCACAAAAUUAAAGGCAAGCUCAUAGCACAUAACAUGGUUAAGGAGAGAACAUAGAAACUGCUGAUAGAUAGGAAUUGAACCCUGAUCUUAUACUGGCACUGUAAAGCAUUAUGCCAACUGCUACACAACUGUACACAGAUAGAGAUAUUAGAUAUCAGGGUAGAUGAAAAUUAUUACAUUUAUAUUUACCACUCAAUGGGGUUUUCUUGAGUCAAACAUGUUACUGAUAUUGUAAAAGCAAACUAUUCAAAAAGAGACAGUGAGGCCUGUAACUGCUGAGGAGUCACGUGGUGAAGCAAAUUGUUGGGCUGACCAGCAGAGGGAGAGGGAAGGCACGGACAGUUUUACCAUCCGGGCUUCAUUAAGGUUAUUAUUUAAUCAGGCUGAAUUGGCAAACUACCUAAAGAGGAAGAAUGUAACCAAAGCCUGCAGGAUGGAGGCUACCCAGAAAGGAAUGUCAGAUAUUGCUCUUCCAACCUCAUAGUGGCAGUAGAAGAGGCCAUGGACUGACAUGUCAGAAUGGAAAUGGGUGGAUGGUGUACUUUCCAUAUGGAGCUUCACUGGUCGAGAGCAUCUACGAGGCGAAAGGUGGAGUGAGGCCCUCAGCACCUUGUUAUGGUGGGACGAUGAGAACCGUGGUUCUUAACAUGGGCCAUACGGACCCCAGGGGGCCACAGUGGAUUUCGUAGGGGCCACAAGUUAAAAACAAGAAACUGGGGGCCAAGGAAAUCCUGAAUGG